AGAUUUGGAUCUACCACCCCGGACACACCUGGUCUCAUCUGAUCUCAGAUCAGGGUCGGGCCUGGUUGGUACUCGGAUGGGAGAACUUCUGGGAAUACCAGGUGCUGGAGGCUU
rnacentral:rRNA from 1 species